rnacentral:rRNA from 1 species
UGGAGCCUGCGGCUUAAUUUGACUCAACACGGGAAACCUCACCAGGUCAGGACAUUGUAAGGAUUGACAGAUUGAUAGCUCUUUCUUGAUUCAGUGGGUAGUGGUGCAUGGCCGUUCUUAGUUGGUGGAUCGAUUUGUCUGGUUAAUUCCGAUAACGAACGAGACUCUAGCCUAUUAACUAGACGGUCCCAGAGCCCUCGUCUUUGGCGAAAAUGACUCUUCUUAAGGGGACAGGCGGCUUAUAGUCGCACGAGAUUGAGCAAUAACAGGUCUGUGAUGCCCUUAGAUGUCCUGGGCCGCACGCGCGCUACAAUGAAAGAAUCAGCGUGUGUCUCCCAGCCCGAUAGGGCCGGGUAAUCCGCUGAACCUCUUUCGUGCUUGGGAUUGUGGCUUGCAAUUGUUCUUCAUGAACGAGGAAUUCCCAGUAAGCGCGAGUCAUAAGCUCGCGUUGAUUACGUCCCUGCCCUUUGUACACACCGCCCGUCGCUACUACCGAUUGAAUGAUUUAGUGAGGUCUUCGGACCGGCGGGAAAUCCCUAUCGCUUCGGCGGUAUCGACGAACGCUGGGAAGAUGACCAAACUUGAUCAUU